rnacentral:rRNA from 1 species
GGGUGCUCGAGUGGCGAACGGGUGAGUAACACGUGAGUAACCUGCCCUUGACUUUGGGAUAACUUCAGGAAACUGGGUCUAAUACCGGAUAGGAGCCAUCUUUAGUGUGGUGGUUGGAAAGUUUUUCGGUGUAGGAUGAGCUCGCGGCCUAUCAGCUUGUUGGUGGGGUAAUGGCCUACCAAGGCGGCGACGGGUAGCCGGCCUGAGAGGGUGUACGGCCACAUUGGGACUGAGAUACGGCCCAG